AUACGUAGGGGGCAAGCGUUAUCCGGAUUUACUGGGUGUAAAGCGCAUGUAGGCGGACAUUUAAGUCAGGGGUGAAAUCCCGGGGCUCAACCUCGGAACUGCCUUUGAUACUGGGUGUCUAGAGUGUGGAAGAGGUAAGUGGAAUUCCGAGUGUAGAGGUGAAAUUCGUAGAUAUUCGGAGGAACACCAGUGGCGAAGGCGGCUUACUGAUCCAUUACUGACGCUGAGGUGCGAAAGCGUGGGGAGC
rnacentral:rRNA from 1 species